AUUUUAAAGCAGCAGAGGCAGGUGUUCUGUGAUUUGCUGGAAGAAGUUUGUUAAGGAUUAUAAAUAGGGCAAGAUUUACCCUUUCUCUGAAAUUCAAAAUCCUUGCAAGUACCAUGGCUGGGAAUUUAAAGGAAAUCAUCUGAAAGUUGAACAUUUGUCUUCACCAUGGUUUUCCAAAUGAAAGGGAAACUGUCUCGGCAAAAACGCAUCAACUUUCAGAGACCGAGCAAAGCUGGUGAAAGCGACCCGGAUGUUCAUGCGAAUGUAAACUCCAUUUGUCUCGCUCACCAUUGUGAUACCAGAGCUGAACAGGUUAACGAAAGCUUCAGGUUUUCAAGGCAUACAAGGCCCACGUGGAGAAGUGCAGGAGGGCUCAGACAUUGCUAUGAGCUUCUGAAGUGAAAUGACCCCAGGAGCGUGACCGAUAGAGAGCUCUCCAAGCGUGUCCUACCAGGACCUUUGUCACUAGUGAAUUGAUCACCUCCCGAUGAUUCUUUCCAACUGAGUUAAGAGAUUUCUGGAGCCUCUCGCCAUGGUCAGAACAUCCCAAGAGUGACCAAGAACGGGGGCUUUCUGUUCUAGUCCCUCGGGCAAAGACAAAGCAGAUGAGCCCGGCUAAGUUGUUAGGAGGUGCUGUAGGGAAGGGAAGAACCAGGGAUGGUUAAUCACACGAGUGUGUCCCCUGCGGCUGCACCCAGCGUGCCAGGGGUUUGCGGUAGCAAAGGGGGCCAGCUGGAACUCUAGAGCUGGAAUUCGGUGUGAGUCUUGCCAGAUGCCCAGGGGAAAAUUCCCCCUGAAGACAGCAGGUCUAAGAGUGAGACAGGUAGCGCUUUCCUGCCACCUUGCACCCUGAAAAGGCGAGCCAGGGUCACAGACAGGAACCAAAGGAGGUCAGUCUCUUCGUAGGAAGAUGAGCAAUCAACACAGUGAAAAAGAAAAGAAAAAACAGAAAAAGUCUGAUGUUUUACACCUAAAAUUAAUAUGCUAGAUAUCUCGAUAAAACCGGAGAGAAAAAAAGAGGCGGGGUCAACACUCCAACCCCGCGGAAGCUGAGUGGCUUCCGUGGUGCGCUCUCAACCGCACGGGCCAGGUUGAAGAGGGUUGUUUCACGGUCUGCGUGUGAAUAAGGGACAUUUUUACUGAAAAAAAAGGCAGAAGGAUUCAUUUUCAAGUUAAGAAUGGGCCCAUUUUACGGCCGAAGCAAUGCUCUGGUUAACAACUCAGUUAUCUUGGGGAAAGAGUAAACUGGCCUCCACCCCUCUCCAUUUCCAGCAUUUUGGGGAAAAGAAAGGCUGAGAUAAAAUGCUUUAUUUGCUCUCAUGCUCCACUGUGGGCAGGAGAUCAUACAUCAGUCAGAAACCUUUUUUUUUUUUUUAAACAAGAAAUCAAGUAAACCAGAAGGAAUUUAUGCACAGGAGGCUCCCUUUUGCUAGAAAAGGAGUAUUAUUAACAAAAAAAUGGAAUGGUGCCCCUCUCUCCAUUUUCCUCCUGUCCUUCCCUCCUCUCAUCUAUCACCCGCUACUGCAGUGGGAAACCACUGCGGUGAGUAAGAUGUGACAUCUGAGCCCCGUUGGAUGCCUCUGUAUCCAACAGCUGUUACUGAGAGUGGAUUACAGCUCGUCUAAAUGGUAGGUUCCCAUGCAAAAGAAUUGUUCUUAGACUGCAGAACUGACCACAGUUACUGAUGAUGGGUUGGGAUAGAUCGUGAGGAGAGAGUCAGCAAGGAUCAAUGAAUCCAGUCAUGUUAUUACAGUUUAUAAUGUGGGCUUCCACUAAGUAUUUGUUUCCUAAAAUUGAUUCCCUCUGGGGAUUCUUUCUCUCUUAGCCCAUUUAUUUAUUUAUUUAUUUAUUUAUUUUUGCGGUACGCGGGCCUCUCACUGCUGCGGCCUCUUCCGCUGCAGAGCACAGGCUCCGGACGCGCAGGCUCAGCGGCCAUGGCUCACGGGCCCAGCCGCUCCGCGGCAUGUGGGAUCCUCCCGGACCGGGGCACGAACCCAUGUCCCCUGCAUCGGCAGGCGGACUCCCAACCACUGUGCCACCAGGGAAGCCCCUCUUAGCCCUUUUAGAAAAUUGAUGCAAACAGAUUUCUCCUUCAUUUCUAGAGGAAGUCUUCCUUCCUGUUGCUGGGAGGACAUUGUGGGUGGUAGCAGACCACAAGGCAGUGGGUCCCUUUAUUAGCCUGUCUGUUCCAGAGCACAGAAGUCCGACAUCUUUGUUUCUUUCCAUUGCUCAAGAUGCUCCGACCCGUUAUCCCUCUUUUUCUUUGCUCAGGUCUCUCUGUGGAGCUGGCGAGGCUCUCUGGUGAUGCUCAGUGGCUAUGGUGGAAUGUGCAGGUGAAAUUAACACUUUCACGGCUACCGAUUUUCCUUAACAGAGCUGUGGAGUGUGACAAUGGUGUUUGUGUCCAAACCAUCAAACGCCAUUAUCACACUAAAUAGCUACUGUUAGGCCAUCCUUCCGCUCACUAAAUGCCUUGACAUCUGUUUGGUAGGGGCAAGAAGGUUCAUCUUAUAGCAGUGCUCCCAGGCCUGUGUAAUUACUGAGGAAAUUCUGGUCCUUUUGUGCUCAUAACCAAUAUGUCAUCUGAAUGUUGCCUCUCAUAUGCUGUUGUUAAAUAAUUUAGCUGAUGAUGAAUUUUCUUGUCUUCCUGAGUCAAUAAAAAGAUUGCAGCGUCCCCCAGAGCACCCAGCACAAGGCUAGGCAUGUGGUAAUUGUUCAACCCAUGCUUAUGGAAAACUAAAACCGGUUUAUAUCUAGGUUUCGUAAAACCCAUGCUUAUAGGUAAAAAAUUAAGUUGUGGGGGUCUUCUACUUGUCAUCAUAAAAAGACAACUUCUUAAUAAACUUAUACGUGGCCUAACUGACCUUUCAGAAAUUCUAGAACAUGUUUGAUUUCUACUGAUUUUAAUCAAUUACCAGGCUGAUUACUGAAUUUGUAUACAAGGUCCUUCUUCUUUAUGUUUCGAUGAAUUUCCAUCAGGAAAUUAUACAUGAACUGUGUGUGGGCUGUCAUAGCAAAUCCAAACAUUUUAAACCCAAUGUAGCUUCUGGGACACUUGGACCAGCCGGGUGGUCUGGUUUGAAACACAUUCUUUCUCUGAGAGGUGUUUAAAGUAAGAAGUAGGUUCUGUUUAUGCUGGGCUAAAACUUCUCUCCCGUGACUUGGCUAAAUGAACUAGUAUAUGUUUAAUCAAAAUGAAAGGAUUGGAGGGACCAUCAGAGGCCAGUUCAUUCAACCCUUCAU